rnacentral:rRNA from 1 species
AGUGAACGCUGGCGGUAGGCCUAACACAUGCAAGUCGAACGGCAGCACAGUAAGAGCUUGCUCUUACGGGUGGCGAGUGGCGGACGGGUGAGGAAUACAUCGGAAUCUACUUUUUCGUGGGGGAUAACGUAGGGAAACUUACGCUAAUACCGCAUACGACCUACGGGUGAAAGCAGGGGAUCUUCGGACCUUGCGCGAUUGAAUGAGCCGAUGUCAGAUUAGCUAGUUGGCGGGGUAAAGGCCCACCAAGGCGACGAUCCGUAGCUGGUCUGAGAGGAUGAUCAGCCACACUGGAACUGAGACACGGUCCAGACUCCUACGGGAGGCAGCAGUGGGGAAUAUUGGACAAUGGGCGCAAGCCUGAUCCAGCCAUACCGCGUGGGUGAAGAAGGCCUUCGGGUUGUAAAGCCCUUUUGUUGGGAAAGAAAAGCAGCAGGUUAACACCCCGCUGUUCUGACGGUACCCAAAGAAUAAGCACCGGCUAACUUCGUG